CCUACGGGGGGCAGCAGUAGGGAAUCUUCCACAAUGGGCGAAAGCCUGAUGGAGCAACGCCGCGUGGGUGAAGAAGGUCUUCGGAUCGUAAAACCCUGUUGUUAGAGAAGAAAGUGCGUGAGAGUAACUGUUCACGUUUCGACGGUAUCUAACCAGAAAGCCACGGCUAACUACGUGCCAGCAGCCGCGGUAAUACGUAUGUGGCAAGCGUUAUCCGGAUUUAUUGGGCGUAAAGGGAACGCAGGCGGUCUUUUAAGUCUGAUGGGAAAGCCUUCGGCUUAACCGGAGUAGUGCAUUGGAAACUGGGAGACUUGAGUGCAGAAGAGGAGAGUGGAACUCCAUGUGUAGCGGUGAAAUGCGUAGAUAUAUGGAAGAACACCAGUGGCGAAAGCGGCUCUCUGGUCUGUAACUGACGCUGAGGUUCGAAAGCGUGGGUAGCAAACAGGAUUAGAUACCCGGGUAGUC
rnacentral:rRNA from 1 species